rnacentral:rRNA from 1 species
CAGUAGCCACGGGAAAACAGAGGGUGCAAGCGUUAAUCGGAAUUACUGGGCGUAAAGCGCGCGUAGGUGGUUUGUUAAGUUGGAUGUGAAAGCCCCGGGCUCAACCUGGGAACUGCAUCCAAAACUGGCAAGCUAGAGUACGGUAGAGGGUGGUGGAAUUUCCUGUGUAGCGGUGAAAUGCGUAGAUAUAGGAAGGAACACCAGUGGCGAAGGCGACCACCUGGACUGAUACUGACACUGAGGUGCGAAAGCGUGGGGAGCAAACAGGAUUAGAUACCCCGGUAGUCCCUGUCUCUUAUAC